GACGAACGCUGGCGGCGUGCCUAACACAUGCAAGUCGAACGGAACUUGAGCUUCGGUUUAAGUUUAGUGGCGAACGGGUGAGUAACGCGUGAGGAACCUGCCUUUCAGUGGGGGACAACAGUUGGAAACGACUGCUAAUACCGCAUAAUGUUAUCGGACGGCAUCGUCUGAUAACCAAAGAUUUAUUGCUGAAAGAUGGUCUCGCGUCUGACCAGCUAGAUGGCGGGGUAACGGCCCACCAUGGCGACGAUCAGUAGCCGGUCUGAGAGGAUGAACGGCCACAUUGGGACUGAGAUACGGCCCAGACUCCUACGGGAGGCAGCAGUGGGGAAUAUUGGGCAAUGGGGGAAACCCUGACCCAGCAACGCCGCGUGAAGGAGAAGGCCUUCGGGUUGUAAACUUCUUUAGUCAGGACGAAGAACGUGACGGUACCUGCAGAAAAAGCAACGGCUAACUAACGUGCCAGCAG
rnacentral:rRNA from 1 species